CCUACGGGGGGCAGCAGUCGGGAAUAUUGGACAAUGGGGGGAACCCUGAUCCAGCCAUGCCGCGUGUGUGAAGAAGGCCCUCGGGUUGUAAAGCACUUUCAGUGAGGAAGAACGCCUGGUGGUUAAUACCCAUCAGGAAAGACAUCACUCACAGAAGAAGCACCGGCUAACUCCGUGCCAGCAGCCGCGGUAAUACGGAGGGUGCGAGCGUUAAUCGGAAUUACUGGGCGUAAAGCGCGCGUAGGUGGCUUGAUAAGCCGGUUGUGAAAGCCCCGGGCUCAACCUGGGAACGGCAUCCGGAACUGUCAAGCUAGAGUGCAGGAGAGGAAGGUAGAAUUCCCGGUGUAGCGGUGAAAUGCGUAGAGAUCGGGAGGAAUACCAGUGGCGAAGGCGGCCUUCUGGACUGACACUGACACUGAGGUGCGAAAGCGUGGGUAGCAAACAGGAUUAGAUACCCUUGUAGUC
rnacentral:rRNA from 1 species